UAUUUCAAUGAAUCCUUGGAGUAACAGUCUUAUUCCCAUCUUACAGUGAAAGAGACUGAGGUGCAUAAAGAUGAAGUAACAUGUCCAGGGGCAGGAGCCCAGGCCUCUAACCUUCAUCUCCUGUCCUGUACACUCUAAUCAGGAUGGAACUGUACUGUAUAUCACUAUAUAAGACAAUAUAUGAAGUCCCAACUAUUCCCAAAGAACUGUUUCCUCUGGUUCUUCCCAGGAAGCUAAGAAACAUAUAUUUUAAGUGCACCAAGUUCCCUCCAAGGAGAGACCCUGGGUAAUGACAAUCUCUGGUGUCAACUAAGAUUCUUAAGAACUGUAUCCUGGUUGUGAUUCCUAUGUGAACCCGAAGGUAAGCCAGUAACUCAGUCUAUCU
rnacentral:lncRNA from 1 species